CUUCUUUAUAUCCAUAAAAACUCAGUUUAGCUGGUGCGCUUCCGUCAAUAAUCCACUCGGUUUCCCCCCUUCAAAAUGCAUACAAAAUUAAUCCCAAACGUUACCAAUAAACUUAUGCAAACAAGUCAAUCAACGUUUAUAAUCAAACUUUAGGUACCCGAAUACGCAAAUAAACGAUCAAAUUUAAGACGGAGAAUCGUUAUUGUCUUUAGCGGAGAAAAAUACCAAAGAAUGCGCUCUCAUUUACUUGCUUGGGAACACUACAGACAAAAUGGGAGCCACCCAGAAAAACUACAAUUUCUGGCUCAUUUUUCCAAAAACCAGCCUGAAACUCUUUCUAAAGACUGUUGACAUCUAGUGGAAGCCCUAGGAACUGCAAUCAGGCACGAUUUCUCCCUAUUAGAAAAGUGCCAGCCAUUGAAAUCAGUGGUAGGAUGAAAAUGUUUUUUGGGGGGGUUGGUUUGUCCUUCGGGGUUUCACCUGUCAUUUCAGUUCUGUUAUACUCACAGACAUUAUUUUAACAGUUUUAGAAACUUUAGAGUGUUUUCUAUCCAAAUCUACCAAUUACAUGCAUACCCUAGCUUCUGAGUCUGAGUAGCAGGCAGUUUACUUUGGGCACGCUUUUCAUCCGGGUUAACUGUGGGUUAACUGCCUUGUUCAAGGGCAAAAUUACAGAUUUUUACCUAGUCAGCUUGGGGUUUCGAUCUUGCAACCUUUUGGUUACUGGCCCAACACUCUAACCACUAGGCUACCCAGCCACACCCAUGAAUGAAAUGAGUGAAAUGCAAAUAUUUGUGCCACGGGCAGGGGAAAUGGGACACCGGAGCUCAACCCGCUUGAUGAGCGACUUGCUGGUAUUAUAGGGGAAUCCCUCCUGAGUAGAGUAGUGACGGAGGUGGAAGGGGACAGGGACAUGCAAGACGCACCGGAUGAUCCAGCUGAGCAAGAGCUGACUGCGCCCAGCCCCGGCAUCUCCACUGCACCACAUGCGUCACAACCCUCCGGAAGCCGUGUCCUCAUAGAUAAGCCGUGUCCUCAUUGAUGUUGUCCUGCAAACGCAAAGAGACACCAUCAAUGCUAUUAACGAGGUUGCCAAGGAGUUGAAGUGGAACAGGCACGGCUUGGCUUUUGCGGGUGCUUCUCUGUAAAGCUGGGCCCACUACAGCACAGAAAUCUAAGAAAACAGCUCUUGGUAAUCGGACCGGCUCAUAAGCCACUCAUCAUCGUUGGCAAGUAAAUCUUGCUGGUCUCUGAAAAAUUUGCUCUCUCCGCAGAAUUCUUCCAUUUGCCAAAUCUUCCAACAGUGCCAAAGCAGCCGUUGUGCGUCAUUACACGUUGUAAUUGCAUCCCAUUUUAUACCCACCUUCAGGUGCUUAACACCUUCAGGUGUUGUAAUUACCCUGAUUGUAACUGGCAAUGACAGGGCCAUUAUCACAUUACAGUUCAGCGCAACGAACAUGUGAUAACAAUAUAUGAAACUGUGCACUCGUAUCUGCCCAACUGAGGCAUCGAAAACGGCAUCAGUUUAAACUAAUUUGUCCUACAGUUGACCUUAUUUAAGAGAAUGCAUUUCAUUACAUGCAAGUAUUGUUUAAUAAUUACAAAUCCAAUUAAAUAUGAUUCAGAUUAAACUGUACAACAUAUUUGAGGGGGUUAUUAGCAAAAACAGAUAUCUCCGUUUGUAUUUAUUAUCCUAAAUCAUGUUUUUAAUGUUUUUUUUUUGUGUGCACUCCAUGGAACUCCUCAUAUAUAAUACGUGAGGUAAUAUUUCAAUUUAUUUUACACAAUGGUAUCAAUUUCAAAGCGUUUCUCGAGUUUCAUCCUUCUGUUUCAUCCCUCUGCCAUCUGAGUUGCAGUUUCUCAUUUCUCAAGUUAAUGUGCAUUCCUAUGGGUCAAAGUGUCUGUGGAGGACCGCACAUUCUCCCGUCAAGUUAGUUUUUUAUAAAUCCCAAAAUUUGCUUAGAAGGUGGCAUACGCCUUUUGUGCCUACGCAACAUUUAUAACUGAGGCCCCAGGACACCAUAUAUUAUAGUCUCUAAACGGAAAAAUAUUACCACUGUCUCUUGCGCAUGUCAUUUUCCAUAUGGAUCCAAAACCAAUUACUAUGAGAAUAAAGAUCACUGAAAGACAAACAUUGAAACAAAGUAGGCUAAUGAAGGUAAACAAAUUGUUGCUUACUGGAAAAUACUCUUUCAAAAGUAAUGGAAGAGGCAAGUGGAAGGGGGAAAAGACACCAUUCAGAGGUCAAGACAGAGCUGCUCUGAGACAAGCAUGGGGACUGGUCUUGAUAAAUCAAUGACAUUUUUAUUUUCAGUUUGGGUAUUAGAUAUUAGGUAUUAGUUAGACUACAAUUAUGGUGUGGAAAUGUAUUUCUUAGUUAGAUUGGCUGUAUCACAACCGGCCGUGAUUGGGAGUCCCAUACUGCGGCACACAAUUGGCCCAGUGUCGCUCAAGUUUCGCCGGUGUAGGCCAUCACUGUAAAUAAGACUUUGAUCUUAGCUGACUUGCCUAGUUAAAUAAAAGGUCAUGUUGUACAGCACCAUAUUUUCCUAAUGGAAACCCUGAGGGUUUUGUUUUUCUUGCAAUAGAAACACAAUAAUAUGAAUCAAAUGAAUGAAGUUACAUUUCUUAAAAUCAAUCCCAUCAAUCCCAAUCCCAUAUACUCUGUUCUUACAAAAAAAGGUUUUAAAUUCUCUAGUAAAGCCAAUAACUUUAGGUUAUUUGCAAACAAAAUAAUCUCCAAAAUAUCGUUAAUGUUUUCAAACACUUGUUUUUCACAAGGGCUAUUAGCAGGACAAUAGACACGAUGUGGUCCCAAAAACACCUCUGACAAAGGGUCCAGCAUGUCUCUGGAUGAUGAUCGAGCUCGGUCCGACACGGGCUGCUUUAUGUAUUAUUAACAUUUCUUUUUUUUCUUUUUUUCUUCUUCAUAUUUUGAUAUUGUGUAGCCUACAGUGAUGCCUCUAGCAUAUGUCAGUGCAAGAGGCAUCACUACAGUCCCUAGUUCGAAUCCAGGCCGUGAUAGUUCACAUCCGGCCGUGAUAGGGAGUCCCAUAGGCCGGUGCACAAUUGGCCCAGCGUCGUUUUGCCGGUGUAGGCCGUCAUUGUAAAUAAUAAUUUGUUCUUAACUGACUU
ensembl:lncRNA